GGGCGGAGCCUGGCGCCGGAGCUCGGCCCCUCGCGAACACACAGGGACGGGCGCGCCCGGGCUCGUGGCAGCACUGAGCUUUGUGUCCUCGCUUUCGCGUACUCGGCACGGUCGUUAGUCCUCUUCCAACGUAGUACUCCGGGGAACCCGCCCCCCAGGCCUGACCUGGAACCACAAUCCCAGAUCGUCCAGGGUGCCCUGGUCUUGCUGAGAUCCUACAAGGGCGUUAUCACUAACAGCUGGAUUCUGUGAGUCCUUUGCGUUGUACCUGGAAGGCCUAAGGGGCGGUUUGACUUCCAAGUACUUCCGACCCUUCACAAGGUCAACAAGCGACCAAGGGCCUAAAGCGCUCAGCAUUUGAGACGAAGCUCUUGGAGUAGUGGCUGGCUUCCUAUGCCUAAUAUUUUCUCACUGAAGAAUCAUUUUUUUAGUUAUCUUUUGGAAGCCUCUGCUUCCUGAGGUUCUGUCCUGUGGCCAGGCCGCAAGGCCAGCCAUUCCAACUCCCAUGAUCUCCCAGAGGGGACUUGCUGCUGCUUCCAGCAAGAAGAGCAGGUCCACUGCUACCACCUUCGAAAUUCCACUCCCUCAUGUGCUUGACCAAUGAAAAGUGACCUGUGUCCUUUCUGGGCCAACAUUUUAGGAGCUAGAAUCCACCUGGCCAUAUAUACCCCCUUGGCUAAGGGGGAGUCCACCUCUUAGGGAAGUCAAUGAACGCAGCCACCUGCCAACACUCUUGGACACAGAUCGCAGCAGCAGAACCUAGGUUGGCCUGACUGACCAUGCACCACAAGCCUACUUGUCCGACCUGCACAUGGAGAUAGGUUCCUGGCCUUUCCUACUGAGCUCUUAACAACUGUCCUUCCCACUCUCCAGGAUUUGAAGGGGCCAGAUGCAACACUGCACUAAGGAGGUGCUCUGAGUAUCCCACGCAGAGCCAGUGGAGGAAUGUUUCGGGAGCGGGGAGGGGGGUGAAGCAGGCAAAACACCUCUUUCCUAGCACAUAAGAAGCCCCAGAGGCUUCCUCUAGAACAGCAGCAGCCUCUGACUACUUUACCACUCAGACCUCUGAAAAUGGCUGAAAAGGAAUAAAAGGAUCCAGGAGGAAAGGAUCAGCUGAUAGAGGACCCCCGCAUCUGGCCUGUUGGCUCAGGGCAUAAAUCUCUGCCUGGGUGCCCCCAUACCAGGCUGAGUGAGGGGUACAGUGCAUGGACACAAGACAGGAGCUGCUUCACCCAAGAGUAUUCCAUGCCCAGCAUCCUACAGUGGAGAUCUUGAAGCUCUAGGGGCCUGGGAGGGACUAAACUGGAGCUAGGACUAACCAUGAAUGGAAAAGGGGCAGCAAGGCCAACAGAGGGCUCUUGUGCUCCUCAGCAUCUCGGAGGUCCUUAGUCUUGACAACAUAAACUCUUAAGUUCGAAAUCUCAUCUGAAUAUUUUCAGCCCUAAAGUCCCAAAGCUCAUGAUCAAAUCAGGUACCGUUGUCUCCCCUUAUCUGCAGUUCUACUUUCUAUGGUUUGAAUUACCCUCAGUAAACUGCUGUCUGAAAAUAUUAAAUAGAAAAUCCUACAACAUAUGAAUUACUUAAUUCAUAUGUUUGAAAUUGCACAUCAUUCUGAGCAGUGUGAAAUCUCUCACUGUCUCACUCUAACUUGCCUAAGACUACCUGAACUCCUUUGUCUAAUGUUUCCAUGCUAAAUAUGCUCCCCACCCUUUAGUCACCUACUAGCUGUCUCGGUUAUUGGAUUAACUAUUGGGAAUCACAAUGUUUCUGUUUCUUAUUUUACUUAAUAAUGGCCUCAAAGUGCAAGAGUAGUGAUGUUGGCAAUUUGG
rnacentral:lncRNA from 1 species